rnacentral:rRNA from 1 species
ACCGAGAUUCCCCCAGUAGCGGCGAGCGAACGGGGAGGAGCCCAGAGCCUGAAUCAGCAUGUGUGUUAGUGGAAGCGUCUGGAAAGGCGCGCGAUACAGGGUGACAGCCCCGUACACAAAAGCGCAUAUGCUGUGAGCUCGAUGAGUAGGGCGGGACACGUGGUAUCCUGUCUGAAUAUGGGGGGACCAUCCUCCAAGGCUAAAUACUCCUGACUGACCGAUAGUGAACCAGUACCGUGAGGGAAAGGCGAAAAGAACCCCGGCGAGGGGAGUGAAAAAGAACCUGAAACCGUGUACGUACAAGCAGUGGGAGCCCCACCACUAAGCCAGUGGUGAACUCCACAUACGCAUCCUUUGCUGAGGAUACGGUUAACGGAGCGAAAGCGACGUUCAACCUCAAAAGAAGCAGAGGGGGCUUAGUGGUGGGGUGACUGCGUACCUUUUGUAUAAUGGGUCAGCGACUUAUAUUCUGUAGCAAGGUUAACCGAAUAGGGGAGCCGGAGGGAAACCGAGUCUUAAUUGGGCGUUAAGUUGCAGGGUAUAGACCCGAAACCCGGUGAUCUAGCCAUGGGCAGGUUGAAGGUUGGGUAACACUAACUGGAGGACCGAACCGACUAAUGUUGAAAAAUUAGCGGAUGACCUGUGGCU